UUGAUUAUAAUUUAAGGUCUGGCCUGCUCUAUGAUUAUUUAAAUGGCCGCGAUAUUUUGAUCGUGCGAAGGUAGCAUAAUCAUUAGUUUUUUAAUUGAAAGCUGGAAUGAAUGGUUGGACAAGAAAAUGACUGUUUCAAUUUUAAUUUAAUAGAAUUUUAUUUUUAAGUUAAAAAGCUUAAAUAAAUAUUAAAGACGAGAAGACCCUAUAGAGUUUUAUAUUUUUAAAAAUAAAAAAUAUAAAGAAUUAAAUAUUUUUUAUUUUUAAAAAUAUUUGGUUGGGGUGACAAAAAAAUUGAAAAAACUUUUUUUAAUAAUUAAUAUUGAUAAAUAUAUAUAUGAUCCAUUAUUUAUGAUAAAA
rnacentral:rRNA from 1 species